GCAACAGCAAGACUCCGUCUCAAAAAAGAAAAAAUUUUAUCUGUCCCUGUAGAGCAUGAUGUUCUGAGAUUGUUGGCCCGAACAGAGCUCUGAACAUUCAAGUUGUCUGAGAGGAAUAGGAAUUUAAAUAAGCUUUACUUGAGUACUACUAUGAGCUAAGCAUUAAAGUAGCAUCUAGGCAUUAAAGUAGUAUACUAGGCAUUCAAAUAGCACCACAGCUAGCUUAUUACUGCCUUUUUGCAAUCUAGAGAAAGCCCUCCUUUUCCUGUAGUGGGCACAGGACUUCUCUAGGGCACAUUUACUUUUAGCUCCUGAUCACCAACUUGCCUAAGUGUCUUGAGCAGUGCACAUACAACUCAACCAUACUUGGUUAGUGCUAUCCUGAGGAUAAAACAGGUAAGUUAGACACUAGCUUGGCUUUCAAGGAAUUCACAAAUUAAUUGUGGUGAUGACAAUGUAUAAAAAAUAUGAUAUAAAAAUACUAAGUGUAUAAUGAGGGUACGAAAAAUAUGUGCUGUGGAAACCCAUCAUAUAAAGCUAAUAACUGAAAUGAUUAACAAAUUUCUACAACUCUUAUUCAAUAAAGAAUUGUAAGUCUGUGGCCUAAAUUGCUAGGUUUUUGAAAUAUUCAAGAUCAUCAAUUGCAUCAUUCCUGAACUUGCUUACCCUUAGAGGAUAGUUGUUUGUGAGAACUGAGAACAAUUAACUAAUCUUAGUACCCACUUAACAUAAAACAUCUCCUCCCUGACAGAAGAAAUAAUUACAUAAUCACACUUUGGGAUAGACCUUCAUUCUAACAAGAAAAAAAGCUGUCUUUUUUUCUCACCUGUUUUCUGGUGGCUGCACUCUAAAAACCUCAAGAUAAUACUUCUUUGUGAUGUCAGCAAGGCUUUCACAGAGAUGAUGUACUUUAUCUCAAUAUUUCAGAAUUUCAGGUGAAGAUAUUUGUGCUUCAUAAUAGUGGAAAAUGUGAGAGCAAAGUAUUCGCUGUGGAAGAAGUGUUUUGUGCAAAUGCUUUGAACUGCAGAAGCAAAAAUGAUGCAGUGUAUUCAGCAAGGAGCUCUGACUGGCUACAACAUAUGGGUCUAUAUGUGCAAAGUCAAGGAAAAAGAAGAUGUGCAAGGUAGGAUCUGCUUCUCCAGUUGAACUCUGACAAACACAGAUUUUGAUAACUGCAAGUAGGGUACUGCUGUAACAAAUACCUAAAAAUAUGGAAAUGACUUUGGAAUUGGGUAAUGGGUAGAAGCUGGAAAAAUUUUGAGAUGUAUGAUUGGAAAGGCCUAGAUUUCCUUUAAUAGACCAUUAGUAGAAAUAUGGAUGUUAACAACUUUGCUAGUGAGGAUUUAGAAUAAAGGGAAGGGCAGGGUAAAGAAAACAUGUAUUUUCUUAUUACCUAAAUUGUCAUAAAGAGGAUGCUUAUAGAAUAUUUAUAUUAAAUGUGAUGCCAGAGAAAUAACAUCAUCUUAGAGAAUACAUAAAUAAUUAUGAAUAUAUUAUUUAGAGAAAUAUAAAUCUUAAAAGUGCUGCCAGUGAGGGCUCAGAAAUAAGGAACAUGCUAUUGAAAAUUGAAUGAAAAGAUAUCCUUGCUAUAUAGUGGCAGAAAGCUAGCUGAAUUGUGUCAUUCAGUUAUGUGAAAAGCAGAACUUGUGAAUGAUAGACUUAAGUAACAGGACAUUUCCAAGCAAAGUGUUAAGGUGCAGCUGGUUUCUUCUUCUGGCUUAUAGCAAAAAGCAAGAGGAAAGAGACAGUUUAACUUUAAACUGUUAAACAAAGUGGAACUAGGACUUGAUGAUUUUGGAAGCUUCAGUCUCUCCAGAUUACAAAAUAUGCUAUAAUUAGGAGAUUUGUUGUCAGAAAAGCAUACUUUCAAGAGACAACCAAAGGUAUGGCUAAACAAGUUUUGUCUAGUGCCUCAGAAUGAUUGAAAGAUGCACUUGUACAGAGAACUCUUUGAAGAGAUUAGGCGUGGGACACCCACAAUGUUCUUGACAAUGUUAUACCAGCAGAAAUACUGCCAGCUUGGACCUUGGAUCAAAAAAGACAAAGAGAGUACUGGCUACAGCAUCCUUAAACAGAUUGAUGAGACAAAUAAUCUGCAAACAUGUACUCUCUUUCAAGAGAAAGAAUAACUCCUAGGGCAUAGUGAGGUGCCCAGAAGGUAAAGCCACAAUCUCAGAGGAUUAUUUCCAGGACUUGAAACCGAAUGAAGCUUAUCCAGAUGAUAUCAGAAUUACUUGGAUUAGCGACGCCUUUCUUUCUUUUUUUUUUUUCUUUCCUUCCCAUUUUAAAUGAAAGUGAAUAUAUACUAUUAUCAUUAGUCUGUCUACCAUUUCAUUUUGGGUGAACAUAACUAAUUUCUUGAAUUUUAGUGGACCACAGCUAGAGAUGAAUUGUGACUCUGGAUGGAUUAUAUCAAAAGCCUCACCCACAUCUGAUUUAGAUAAGGAGAUUUGGGACUUUGGAGUUGAUGAUAUUUUGAUGAGCUAUUAAACUUUGCUUUGAUGCUACAAUUAAUUAAGACUUUGGGAAUGUUAAAAUGGGAUGAAUGUACCUGGAAUGUAAGACAGACGUGAAUAUUUGGAGCCAAAAAGUAGACUGUUAUAGGCAGAAUAAUGUCAUUACCCAAAAAAUGUUCGUGUCCUAAUCCCCAGAAACUGUGAAUAGGUUGUUACAUAGCCAGAGAGAAUUAAAGUGACAGAUGAAAUUAAGGUUGCUAGUCAGCUAACCUUACAAAUAAAGAGAUUGUCCUAGAUUGUCUAAAAUAAUCUAAUAAUGUAAUUACAAGGAUCAUUUAUAUGCUAAAAAGGGAAGUAGAAGAGUUAGUGUUAGAGUAAUGCAAUGCGAGAAAGACCUAACUGGUUAAUGCUGGCUUUGAAGAUAGACGGGAAUCACUAAUCAAGAAAUAUAGACAGCCUCUGUAAAGUGCAAAUGGCAGAAAAUUCAUCUUUUUAGUCUCCAGAAACCAAUGCACUCCUGCCAACACUUUGGUUUUGGUCCAGUGAAAUCCAUUUUAGAUUUAUGACCUGCAGAACCAUAAGAUAACUAAUUUGUGUUGUUUUGAACCACUUAGUUCAUUGUAAUUUGUUACAGUAGCAAUAGGAAUAUAAUACAGGUUUGGGGGUACAAUUUUUCUUAUUAUUUCUCUUUUCCAAGCUCUUUGCAAUAUUAUCAUUGCCAUUGAACUAUCUUUUUUUUUUUUUUCAAAUUCAGAAAAGGUUAGAAAUUUUCCCAAUGUUCCACAGCUAGUAGCUGAAACUCAGACCUAUGGCUUCAGUCUGACCUGACUAAAUUGUGUAUGCUUUCCACUCUACUACAUUGACCUAAAUAUUACAGAACAGUAAAAAAUUAACCUGGAUGCCAUUUUACAGAUUUAUACAUUCAACCAACAAUAAUUGUGCUUUAUCACAGCUGGCUUUAUGGGAAACACUGAAAAUAAAAGAUAAGAGUGUGCCUGCUCUAGAGAAGCUAAAAGUUAAAAUAUAUACAAAACUAGAAAGUUUAAAGUUACUAUUUUGAUGUGGAAGUUAUCUUUUUAUUAUGACAGCAAAGACUGACUUGCAGGCCAUUCCAAAUCCAUUUUGCAUAAGUAAUGAUUUAAUUAUGCUACUCUCAAGCCAAUACAUCCCUAGUAAUUUUUGCUAACAUAAUGUGAAAGCCUUCUGUCUGAUAUGUAAACUUUCAUAGAAUAUGAUCCCAAUCAACACAUCAGAACUCUUUUCUUUUGAAUCUCUAACAUGAAUCCUUACCUAAUACACCAUACCUUUGUCUGUCUCUUGAAAGUAUCUUUUCUGACAGCAAAUCUCCUAAUUGUAGCAUCUUUUGUAAUCUGGAGAGACUGAAAUUUCUAAAAUCACCAAGUCCUACUUCCACUUUGCUUAACAGUUAACAAUGAAACUUUAUACUUAAAUGAUAUAGACUGGUUGAAUAAAUUUUUUAAAACACCCAACUAUAUGCUGCAUAUAAGAAACUCAUCACACCUAUAAAGACAUCUAUAGCAAUUCUCUUGCCUCAGCCUGCCAAGCAUCUGGGACUACUGGUGUGCACAGCCACAUCUGGCUUAUUUUUAAAUUUUCUGUAUAGUCUGAGUCUUGCUAUGUUGCCCAGGCUGGUCUCAAAUUCAUGGGCUCAAGUGAUCCACUUCCAC
rnacentral:lncRNA from 1 species